AUAUAGGCUGUCCUUACAGCCAUUAAAAACAAACAAAAACCAACCAU
rfam:Charadrius vociferus contig48111, whole genome shotgun sequence.